rnacentral:tRNA from 1 species
UCCUGGUGGCUCAGAUGGUAAAGGAUCUGCCUGAGACGCAGGAGACCCAGGUUCAAUCCCUGGGUCGGGAA